UUCUGAAGUGUUAUAUUAAGAAUAUCUUUCUGGGGCAACCCCCUUUGGGUCCCCUCCCUUUGUAUGGGAGCUCUGUUUUCACUCUGUUUCACUCUAUUAAAUCUUGCACUGCGCUCUUCUGGUCCAUGUUUGUUAACGGCUAGAGCUGAGCUUUCGCUGGCUGUCCACCACUGCUGUUUGCCACUGUCGCAGACCUGCCGCUGACUCCCAUCCCGCCACUGACUCCCAUCCCUCCAGAUCCGGCAGGGUGUCCGCUGUGCUCCGGAUCCAACGAGACUCCCAUUGCCACUCCCGAUCGUGCUGAAGGCUGCCAUUGUUCCUGCAGGGCUAAGUGCCUGGGUUCGUCCUAAUCGAGCUGAACACUAGUCACUGGGUUCCACUGUUCUCUUCUGUGACCCACAGCUUCUAAUAGAGCUAUAACACUGCAUGGCUCAAGAUUCCAUUCCUUGGAAUCCAUGAGGCCAAGAAUCCCAGGUCAGAGAACAUAAGGCUUGCCACCAUCUUGGAAGCCACCCGCCACCAUCUUAGAAGUGGCUCACCACCAUCUUGGGAGCGCUGUGAACAAGGACCCCCGAUUCUGAGAACUCGAUAGACUGGAUUAAGAAAAUGUGGCACAUAUACACCAUGGAAUACUAUGCAGCCACAAAAAAAGAUGAGUUCAUGUCCUUUGCAGGGACAUGGAUGAAGCUGGAAACCAUCAAGCUCAGCAAACUAUUACAAGGGCAGAAAACCAAACACCGCAUGUUCUCACUCAUAGGUGGGAAUUGAACAAUGAGAUCACUUGGACACAGGGCAGGGAAUAUUACACACCAGGGCCUGUCACGGGGGGAGGGGCUGGGGGAGGGAUAACAUUAGGAGAAAUACCUAAUGUAAAUGAUAAGUUGAUGGGUGCAGCAAACUAACAUGGCACAUAUAUACCUAUGUAUCAAACCUGCAUGUUGUGCACAUGUACCCUAGAACUUAAAGUAUAAUAAAAAAAAAUUCUGAGAACUUAUUUGCUUGUAUAUGUCAUAAUUUAUCAUUUAGAUCUCACGUUUUGGAGAUCUUUUUUUAUAAAUAUAUGCAGUCUGUAUAUUUUAUUUGUUUGUUCUCCUUGACCUGGCA
rnacentral:lncRNA from 1 species